rnacentral:tRNA from 4 species
GCUCCCGUCGUCUAGCGGUUUAGGACAUCGCCCUCUCACGGCGAAGAUCGCGGGUUCGAAUCCCGUCGGGAGUACCA